GGGACCUGAAGGAGUUGUGGGAAUUCCAGGACAAAGAGGCCGUCCCGGAAAAAAGGGUGACAAAGGACAGCUGGGGCCCACGGGAGAAACUGGAAGCCGAGGGGCCCUGGGACCAAGUGGAGAAAGCGGUCUGAAAGGCGCCAGAGGCACUAGAGGUGCCGUGGGACAUUUAGGAUUGAUGGGACCUACUGGAGAACCAGGGAUUCCAGGAUUUAGGGUGAGCAUUUCUCAUUGGAAAUAAGGAGUGUAUGUUUGCAUGAAAACCUAUCAUAAAGAUGUCAUCCCAGAUAUACAAAUUCAGAUGACAUCUCCUGAUAAACCUUUCUACCAUGUUUGGGCCUCAUACCCCUGCAGAGUGAAUCCUGUAUCUCUUUCAGAAGAGUGCAGUGUCUAUACCUUUCUGCUGUACUUAGGCCUCAUACCCCUACAGAGUGAAUCCUGUAUUUCUUUCCCAGUAGUGCAGCGUCUAGUGGUGGUGUGGCCAUGGUGGUUUUAGGUAGAGUACAGACAAGUGAUACAGAGACUGUCUGCUUACCUGUC
rnacentral:lncRNA from 1 species